GAAGUCAAAUAGUACGUGAAAUUGUUGAAAGGGAAACGAUUGAAGUCAGUCGUACCGAUGGGUAAUCAGCCUCUCGGGCGCGAUUUUGUGGCUAUGAAGAGACUUUAUGGUCGCUAUCUUUGCGUCUCUGGGUGUAAUUGCUCGUAUGGUAGGUUAACAUCAAUUUCGGACGUCAUAAAAUGAUGGGAGGAAUGUAGCUUCUUCGAAGUAUUAUAGCCUCCGGUAGAUGUGAUGACCGGGAUUGAGGAUUGCAACGGAUACCCACUGGGCUACCCGCCUGGUCUCUGAUCGUCGCUCUGGUGCUGAAAGCGUGCUUAUGGUAUCAAAGUUUGACGGUCAAAAGGCUAGAACGGGUUAAAUCCGUUAAGGAUGUUGACGUAAUGACUUUAAACGA
rnacentral:misc_RNA from 1 species